rnacentral:tRNA from 1 species
GUGGGUACAGCUCAGUGGUAGAGCACGUGCUUAGCAUGCACGAGGUCCUGCGUUCAGUCCCCAGCACCUCCG